rnacentral:tRNA from 1 species
AGAGACUUAGGUUAACCAUUUAGACCAGAGGCCUUCAAAGCCCCCAGCAAGAGUGAAAACCUCUUAGUCCCUG